rnacentral:lncRNA from 10 species
CAAUACUUCCCUGCUCCUUCUACCACUGCACACAGCCCUUCAGCCAGGUGGAUCAUUGUGGAGAGAUGGAAAUGCUGGUUGUGAAGGACACUGUGAUGCUGGAGGACUUAUUCUUGGAGCUGCUGGAAUAGCUGCUGCCACCUGACCUCUCUGAGAUUUGCUCUUCAGCUUGAAAAGACCCCAUAUCCCAAGGUCAUACCCCUUCCCAUGGCCAGGUCAUAUUCCAUAACUCAUCCCCCAAGGUGGGGAGGGAGUGCAAGGGCCACCUUCUUUGCCCAAACCCAGGACAACUCUGAGGGGACCUCCCAGCUGCAGAGCUCUCACGGGACUGGCUGAAGACUUCUUGUGACUGUGAUACUGCCAACUUGGCAUCUACCUGUUCUGCUUCCUCCUUCCGCGCUCCUCCCCUCCACCUAAUGGAUCCUGAGGGUUCUACCGUAUAGACAGCCAUAAGUAAACCUGAAAUAAAGACAUUCUAUGUUGUCAGACCUGCAAAGCCUACUCUUCAGUGGUAGUGACAAUUGUCACCUGGAUUCAGAAAGAGAUCAGUAGAGUGUCGAUCCAGUGCAGGACGGACAGAAUAGCUGGGUGCCCUCGGAACCACUCAAUGAGGCCACACAGCAAGGCAUUAUGUUUCCCUUCCCUUUGACUCCUUCUCGGUCCCCUACCUGCUUCAUAGCUACCUAAAUUCCAUUACAUGCCAUCUGGCUAUUUGCCACCGCCGCUUUAGUCAUUAAACAGAAGGGAAAGAGCACCCUUGGCUGCACAAUGAAGUUAUCCAUUUCCUCAGUUCAGCACACAGGCAGGCUUUUCUUCCUUCUGAAUACCUAGUUUUAUCUGUGACUAAGAGGUCUGAAAUUUUACUACUCAACCCACUAACUUUUGCAUUGCAUCAAAGGGAAGGUCAGUAAUCUUCUUGACAGAAGAUUUAAAACAUAAGGAGCUUAGCAUUCGGGUCUAGGAACUUAACCCUGGUGCCCUCCCAGUGCGCUGCUAAUGGAGCUCGAUUUCAGUUUCCAGCUGGCUUUUCAAAAAAGCUGAUGAGGCCAGAACGGCUCCUCCACUCUCCCCCUCCCACCCCACCCCGCUGUGACUAGGCCUUUUACACACCUCCAAACAAGACAAACGAGCAAGCUCUUCCUGGUGAAAUGCAGGACUGCAGCAGGCAUCCCAGCUCAGUUUUGUGAACUCUUGAAUCAGAGUAAUUUCCAAAUACAUCACUGUCAGUACACACUUUGAGCCUGCCAUCAAGGAGCCCAGAAAUUGGAUUGCCACCUUAUUCCUUUCUAAAGGUGAAACAAGCCCUUUAAAAAAAAUGAGUAUAUUUUAUUAUAUUGUUUCACAUGAAUAAAUGAAUUAUAUGUAAGCAUUUUUCACACUUUAAAGAACAUAAUGUUUCUGUUUCUAAAAUGUACAUGCAUACAUUUGUUUAAAAAUAGCUGCCUUCAUUAUCAUAAUGAUUUUUUCCUCCUGUGUUCAAGAGCUCAGGGAAUUAGUGGUAAAUGUAAAUGUAAUCAAGGGCACCACCAUGCUUUUAAUUUGGCAAAUAAAAACCAUUUAUAUCUCCCAUCAUUGUGGCAGGAUGAGUCAGUUCUAUUACCAAAAGAAGCUUAGAAGUAAUGUGAUUUCCAUCUGACUUUUUUUUUCAUGUUUAUGUCUUGGCUGACUAAAAAUCUUGCUCUUAAUUUCACAUGUUGGAGUAUAGUUAUGAGGAAAUGAAAUAUUAUUGGUACUAACUUUCUGGGAGACAGUCUGGCAAAAUACAUCAAAAACAUAAAAAUGUGACUAUCCUUUGACCCAGAAACCCCACUUCUUUAAAUUUACCCUAAUACAGUGGUACUCAUGGGAAAAGAUGCAUGUUCACUGUGUGGCUCUUUACAAAGCACAAAAAAAAAAAAAAAAGAAAAUAUCUUAAACAUCUAAUAAAAGGCAACUCGUUGAAUAUAUUAUGGUAUGCAAAUAAAAUUUAAAACUACUAUUUAGGGUGGUGUGUGGAGACACAGGAGGAGAAAAAUUAAAAAAUAAAAAACAAGACAACUAUUUAUAAUAAUUGUGUGACUAGGAUAUUUGAAAUAUUGUUAAAUAUGAGUAUAUAGAAUUUAUAAAAAAAAUUAUUCAUUCAACAAAGAUUCAUCCAAUACUAAGUGACAAAUAUUACUCUAUAGCAGAGGUCAGAAAAUGUUUUCCGGCCAGGUGCAGUGGCUCACGCCUGUAAUCCCAGCACUUUGGGAGGCCAAGGCAGGCUUGAGGGCCUCAGGAUUACCUGAGGUCAGGAGUUCAAGACCAGCCUGGCCAACAUGGUGAAACCCUGUCUCCACUAAAAAUACAAAAAUUAGCCAGGCGUGGUGGCAUGUGCCUGUAAUCCCAGCUACUUGGGAGGCUGAGGCAGAAGAAUCACUUGAACCCGGGAGGUGGAGGUUGUAGUGAGCUGAGAUCACGCCACUGCCCUCCAGCCUGGGUGACAGAAUGAGGCCCUAUCUCAGAAAAAAAAAAACAAAAACAAAAACAAAAAAAAAACAGAAAAUAAUGUUUUCCAUGGAAGUCCACAUAGUAAAUACUUUAGGCUUUGUAGGCCACAAGGCCCCUAUGCAGCUGCUCAACCCUGCCACUGUCAUAUGAAAACAGCCAUUGGUGAUGUGUAAAUAAAUGGGUGCACCUAUGUUCCAACAAAGCUUUACUCACAAAAUCUAGGCUGCUGGAUGCAUUCAGCUCCUGGUGGUUAAUUUGCUGACCUCUGUUCUGGACAAGUGAAAUAUACAAGUGAAACAAAACAUGCAAAAAGCUCUGACUCGAUGGAUCUUACAUUCUAUAGCUAUCUAUGUAUCUGUGUGCAUAUACGAAUAAUAUGACUAAAUGGAUGUUCACUGAUCAUUGAUUAAGCAAAUCUCUGGAGAUUGUGCCAGACACUAUGCUGUAAUUGGUUAGUGAUUCAGUGGUUAAACAAAAGAGACUUGGUCCCUGCCCUCAGAAAGCUCAUGAUAUGAUAAAGAAAACAGACAAGAAAGUAAAUAAAAAGAAUAAAGUUUGUUAAAAUUGAUAAGAAAUAGAAUUAUUAACAUGGUUAUCUCUGGAUACUGAAAUAUUUAAUGAGUGCAUCUUUAUUCUUUUUUACUGUAUCUAUUGUUUGAUGUUUUUAUAAUAAGUAUGUAUUACCAUUUGAAACAAUGACAUUAGUCUCAAAAAGUUGUCAGCAAUGAAAAGGAUAAAAGCUUAAUUUGUAUUUUCUUUUGAACAAGUAAUCCUGAUGAAUAUAGAACAGUA